CUUAAAUUGAAGAGUUUGAUCAUGGCUCAGAUUGAACGCUGGCGGCAGGCCUAACACAUGCAAGUCGAGCGGAAACGAGUUAUCUGAACCUUCGGGGGACGAUAACGGCGG
rnacentral:rRNA from 1 species